rnacentral:rRNA from 1 species
UACGUAGGGUGCAAGCGUUGUCCGGAAUUAUUGGGCGUAAAGAGCUCGUAGGCGGUCUGUCGCGUCGGCUGUGAAAACUCGGGGCUCAACCCCGAGCCUGCAGUCGAUACGGGCAGACUAGAGUGCGGUAGGGGAGACUGGAAUUCCUGGUGUAGCGGUGAAAUGCGCAGAUAUCAGGAGGAAUACCUGUGGCGAAGGCGGCCUACUGGGCCGGACCUGACGCUGAGACGCGAAGGCGUGGGGAGCGAACGGG